rnacentral:lncRNA from 1 species
GCAUAAUAAUUUCACUUUUAAUAACUUUUAUGAUUGUAUGUAGUUCAAAACCAUAAAACUAGAUGUUGACAUUCACAAGCCAGUGGAUGAAGAAAAACUUUUUUCAUACAUGUAGACCUAUCAAGCACACGUGGUCAGCAGGAGUGCCGCAUGUCUGACUGUGCUUGUGUUACCUUGCCAUUGUGCUUCCAUUUCAUGAGCUUACAGGGCACUUCUGCAAUUUCCUGCUUUCCCUCUGCUUCAGCUGUGGUUGGUAAACCUUAUCUGUGCUACAGGCAAUGCUAUCUGCUGGGACCUUGAAAAGAACAGUUCAUUAACUCAUAACCUCAUUGCUGCCUCUCUCCCAGCCUCUCUGGUCAUUCCCCAUUGAGUACACCUCUGUGCACCUGCCCCUCUUACGUGACCUCACUUUGUAAGGGGCUGAGAAAGAUAUGCUGAGGGUUUUUCAUUCCUGACCUCAUUCACUAUAACACUGACUGAAUCAAACCUCGAUAUAUCUUCUCAUCGGUCUUGCUGGAGGAAAGGGGAAAAAGCCCAAACUGAAAAUGGUGGAGCUGGUGUGAGAUGCACAGUUCCCAAACAGUGGCAUUAAUUGGCUUGCUAAUGUUUAUACUGACAGGUCAGUGUUUGUAUAUGUUUAUGUAUAUAUAACAUUAUUUAUAUAUAUAUAAGAAAUUUCCUAUUGGGUAAUAUUUCAGAGUUAUUUUUUUUAGUUAGAAGGAAAUUCUCACUGAUUUUCUGUUCUCUAACACUUGGCUAAUCAAACCCAUUUGAAGAACCUCCUUAAUCCACCUCCUAAAUGUGCUCCCCACCAGCUGAGUGUGCACCCAGUGCUCUGGCACAGCCUCUCAGCUGCUGGGGCUCCCCCUCCCCCAGGAGCAUAUCCCCAGGGGGAGAAGCCCUCUUGAGCCUUUUCUCCAUCUCAUUCCCCAGGGUUCCUCUUCCAGGUGAAGGAACUGCCCUGUGGUCCCCAGGACUUGGCUGAAGCCCUAUCUCAAAGCCUAGUCCUAAGAAUGCCUUGUGACAUCCUUUAAACGGGAUGAGCAGGUGAUCACUGUUCUGGACCACAUCUUAGGACAGAAAUAGGAUGAAGUCCAGUGAGGAUACUGAUGGAAAACUUAUGGUUCAUAACCAUGAAGGUAAGAAUUCCUAAUGUUAAAUAAAACUUAGGAUUCUUCUUCA